rnacentral:rRNA from 1 species
GAUGAACGCUGGCGGCGUGCUUAACACAUGCAAGUCGAACGGGCCGCAAGGCUAGUGGCGGACGGGUGCGUAACACGUAGGUGACCUGCCCUGGAGUGGGGAAUAAUUCCGCGAAAGCGGGACUAAUACCGCAUACGAUCAUCUUUUCGGUAGGGUGAUGAAAGCUUUAGUGCUCUGGGAUGGGCCUGCGGCGGAUUAGCUAGUUGGUGGGGUAAAGGCCUACCAAGGCGAUGAUCCGUAGGGGGCGUGAGAGCGUGACCCCCCACAUUGGCACUGAGACACGGGCCAAACUCCUACGGGAGGCAGCAGUGAGGAAUAUUGCACAAUGGGCGCAAGCCUGAUGCAGCAACGCCGCGUGAGGGACGAAGGCCUUCGGGUCGUAAACCUCUUUUCUGAGGGACGAGACAAGGACGGUACCUCAGGAAUAAGUCUCGGCUAACUACGUGCCAGCAGCCGCGGUAAAACGUAGGAGGCGAGCGUUAUCCGGAUUUACUGGGCGUAAAGCGCACGCAGGCGGGUCGGCAAGUCGGCUGUGAAAGCUCCUGGCUUAACUGGGAGAGGCCAGUCGAAACUGUCGGGCUUGAGGUUGGGAGAGGGGUAUGGAAUUCCCGGUGUAGUGGUGGAAUGCGUAGAUAUCGGGAGGAACACCAGUGGCGAAGGCGAUACCCUGGCCCACACCUGACGCUGAGGUGCGAAAGCGUGGGGAGUAAACAGGAUUAGAUACCCUGGUAAUCCACGCCGUAAACGAUGUCAACUAGGUGUCGGUGGUGUUACACUAUCGGUGCCGAAGCAAACGCGUUAAGUUGACCGCCUGGGGACUACGGCCGCAAGGCUA